AUCACAUUAGUCAGCCCACUGCUUCCCAUAGAGAAGUUACAGAUGAUGUCAACAGUAGGAGCUCUUCCACACCUAGGCUUUUGGAUUCUGCCCUUCAACAGAAUAUCAGUCAUGAUGACAUCAACACAGAUGGUCACAUGACUUACACUUCGACCAGUGGAGAGGAAGAACUCAAUUCCAGCAGUGAAGAUGAACUUGAUAGUGAGAGCUCUUCCACGGACAGCCUGUUGGAUAUGGACAUUCAAGAGAAUGAUAAUAUAGAUAACCACACUGACACAGAAGACCACUGGAGUAACACUUCCAGCAGUGAAAAUGAAGACGAUGAACUCGACACUGAGAAACCAACCACAAGCCAGUUGGAUGUGGACGUCUCAGAGCUCUGCCACAUUCUGAAGAGGACUUGAUUGGUGCUGCCAUUGAUGAAGCUGAAAACCAUGCUGAUGACGAAGACGUGAUGGAGGGGAGUGCAAGAGGAAAUGAACCUGAAUUUCCAGUGGGCAUUGAAGACCACGCAGAUGGUGACAAGCCCCUAUAUCCUGGUGCACCUGUUUCAAAGGGAGAAAGUUUAUUGAUGCUGAUGUCCUAUGUGCUGCAUAACAACUUAACAGGCAAAGCACUUACUCAUUUACUGAAACUGUUCAAUCUAAUGUUUCCAGGUUUGAUUCCACCCUCACAUUCAAUUCAGUCUUUUGUUGAAGAACUUUACUGUAGUAAAAGGAAAACAGAAAAUUGUGAAAUGCUAAAUGAAAAUGUCAGAGGUUUUGGUCACCCCCCGGUGCAAACAAGUAUAAAAAUGUCAUAUAGGCUUGCCAUUGUGGAAAUCUAAGCAACUGCUUUUGGUCUUAGAACCGUUUUUUGGUAAAUAAACUUGUGUAUCACAGUCAAAACUAUGACAGACUAAAGAAGAGACACAAUAGUGCUGCAUGCUUGAAAGAUGGUACAUUUUGUUUAAUUACUGACUUAGUUAUUUUUAAACAAACAUGUUCACAUCAAAUCCCUGCUUUUUGUUCAUGUGGCAAACUAUGUUGUGUUUUAGUUGAGGUACUUAUUAAAUCAGUUAUACUUAUUAAAUAUGUAAAGAUUCACACAUCAGUGUACAAAGUACUUUCGUACAUGUUGUGAAAAAAGCUGAAACUGUUAAUGCUGU